UACAGAGGUCUCAAGCGUUGUUCGGAUUCAUUGGGCGUAAAGGGUGCGUAGGCGGCGCGGUAAGUCGGGUGUGAAAUCUUGGAGCUUAACUCCGAAACUGCAUUCGAUACUGCUGUGCUUGAGGACUGGAGAGGAGACUGGAAUUUACGGUGUAGCGGUGAAAUGCGUAGAUAUCGUAAGGUAGACCAGUGGCGAAGGCGGGUCUCUGGACAGUUCCUGACACUGAGGCACGAAGGCCAGGGGAGCAAACGGG
rnacentral:rRNA from 1 species